rnacentral:rRNA from 1 species
UACCCGCAGCUCAAGUGGUGGUCAUUAUUAUUGGGCCUAAAGCGUCCGUAGCUGGCCUGUUAGAUGCCUGGGUAAAUCGAUGCGCUCAACGUAUCGAAUUCCGGGUAGACCGGCAGGCUCGAGACCGGGAGAGGUGUAGGCUACUCGAGGGGUAGGGGUAAAAUCCUGUAAUCCUUCGGGGAGGACCAGUGGCGAAGGCGCUACACUAGAACGGCUCUGGCAGUGAGGGACGAAGCCCUGGGGCGCAAACCGG